rnacentral:rRNA from 1 species
UACGUAGGGGGCUAGCGUUGUCCGGAUUUAUUGGGCGUAAAGCGCACGCAGGCGGUCUCUUAAGUUUCGAGUGACAGGUGGUGGCUCAACUGCCACAGGCCUUGGAAAACUGGGAGACUUGAGGACUUCAGAGGGAUGCGGAAUUCCAGGUGGAGCGGUGAAAUGCGUAGAGAUCGGGAAGAACAUCGGUGGCGAAAGCGCUCUGCUGGACUGCAACUGACACUCAGGGACGAAAGCUAGGGGAGCGAAUGGG